rnacentral:rRNA from 1 species
GACGAACGCUGGCGGCGUGCUUAACACAUGCAAGUCGAACGGAAAGGCCCUGCUUUUGUGGGGUGCUCGAGUGGCGAACGGGUGAGUAACACGUGAGUAACCUGACCUUGACUUUGGGAUAACUUCAGGAAACUGGGGCUAAUACCGGAUAGGAGCUCCUGCUGCAUGGUGGGGGUUGGAAAGUUUCGGCGGUUGGGGAUGGACUCGCGGCUUAUCAGCUUGUUGGUGGGGUAGUGGCUUACCAAGGCUUUGACGGGUAGCCGGCCUGAGAGGGUGACCGGCCACAUUGGGACUGAGAUACGGCCCAGACUCCUACGGGAGGCAGCAGUGGGGAAUAUUGCACAAUGGGCGGAAGCCUGAUGCAGCAACGCCACGUGCGGGAUGACGGCCUUCGGGUUGUAAACCGCUUUCGCCUGUGACGAAGCGUGAGUGACGGUAAUGGGUAAAGAAGCACCGGCUAACUACGUG